UAGGGAAUCUUCGGCAAUGGACGAAAGUCUGACCGAGCAACGCCGCGUGAGUGAAGAAGGUUUUCGGAUCGUAAAACUCUGUUGUUAGAGAAGAACAAGGACGUUAGUAACUGAACGUCCCCUGACGGUAUCUAACCAGAAAGCCACGGCUAACUACGUGCCAGCAGCCGCGGUAAUACGUAGGUGGCAAGCGUUGUCCGGAUUUAUUGGGCGUAAAGCGAGCGCAGGCGGUUUCUUAAGUCUGAUGUGAAAGCCCCCGGCUCAACCGGGGAGGGUGAUUGGAAACUGGGAGACUUGAGUGCAGAAGAGGAGAGUGGAAUUACAUGUGUAGCGGUGAAAUGCGUAGAUAUAUGGAGGAACACCAGUGGCGAAGGCGGCUCUCUGGUCUGUAACUGACGCUGAGGAUCGAAAGCGUGGGGAGCAAACAGG
rnacentral:rRNA from 1 species